CCUACGGGUGGCAGCAGUGAGGAAUAUUGGUCAAUGGGCGGGAGCCUGAACCAGCCAAGUCGCGUGAGGGAUGACGGCCCUAUGGGUUGUAAACCUCUUUUGCCGGGGAGCAAAGUGCCGCACGUGUGCGGUUUGGAGAGUACCCGGAGAAAAAGCAUCGGCUAACUCCGUGCCAGCAGCCGCGGUAAUACGGAAGGUCCGGGCGUUAUCCGGAUUUAUUGGGUUUAAAGGGAGCGUAGGCCGGUCUUUAAGCGUGCCGUGAAAUUUUGUGGCUCAACCAUGAGAGUGCGGCGCGAACUGGAGACCUUGAGUGCGCGGAAGGCAGGCGGAAUUCGUGGUGUAGCGGUGAAAUGCUUAGAUAUCACGAAGAACCCCGAUUGCGAAGGCAGCCUGCCGCAGCGUUACUGACGCUGAAGCUCGAAAGCGCGGGUAUCGAACAGGAUUAGAUACCCCUGUAGUC
rnacentral:rRNA from 1 species